AAAUACAAGACCGAUUGAAUAUCACAGAGUAUAGUUUAAUACACAAAACUAUAUAUUUAGAAUCAUGGGAUUACUAUCCCGAAUUAGAUAUAAAAUACUUUAAUAUACGUGAACUGUAGAUGGAAAGUAGUUUGAAAACCUUGGGACUAACAUCCCGUACUACAUAUAGAUUUAAUACCAUGGGACUAUCAUCCCGAAUUAGAAACAAGAUAGUUUGAUAUACAUGAAAAUAUAGACUGAAAACCAUGGGACUACCAUCCCGGAUAGAUACAAGAUAGUUUGAUAAAACCAUGGGAUCACUAUCCCGAACUAGAUAUCAUAUAUUUUGAUAAAACCAUGGGAUCACUAUCCCGAACUAGAUAUAGAUUCUAACCAUAGGAAUAACAUUGUGCAAUAGAUAUGAAACCUAUAGACUAAAAACCAUGGGGUUACCAUCCCGUACUAGAUAUAUAUCCAAAACCAAAGCCGUCAAUAAACUUAUAUUAAUACGUAUUGUGAGUCGGGUAACCAUGCUGAUACGACAACGAGACCUCCUUGACGCUUGUCAGACGUCGGACGAUAUCCAGAAUUUGUCACCCCAGGCGUGCCCGCCUAACUGUAGCUAGCAGUUAAGGUGUGGGAUUGUCAGUCCCGAAUAGAUCUAUUCACAAAUUCCUCGCUCUCCCUCCAGGAGACUCUGGUUACACUUCCGGGGAGGAUUUACUGAUCAUCCAAAAAGGGUAGUGACGAACUCACAAGCUAGUACUAAACUAUUCACAGGGUUCUCAUACGAUAUCAAACAUACAAAAGAUUAUGAAACAUAAUACAGUGAAUAUAGAUACAUACAAUGAAACUAUCUGGCAAUACAUCCAAAUGAAACGGAGAUAAACUGAAUCAGACAUAGUUUAUCUAAUAAUUUUAUAUACAUAUCAGUACGUGAUUAAACAAGAACUAAAGAAUCCCAAAUUAUUCCCAUAAUAAUUUGAUUAGUUUGGUUAUUUCCUUAACUGAAUUUCAUAUAGUUGUGGUUGAUAAAUCAUCCCUUAUGCUCAGCAUAAUACAUAAAGGGUAAAGGUAUUUAUAAGUUUGCCAGAUAUUAUUUGAAACACAUCAAUGUUAUGUUUUGAAAACAGUUGUAGUUUGCUUGUAUUNUUGCUUGUAUUCCCCCCCUGAAAACAUUGAAAAACCAUUGAAAAAGGGUUGGGGUAUGAACUCACCGGACGAGAAACGUGUCUGCUUGGAUCCUGAACGUCCGUUUUGGGUUUGCAAACGCACGAGGUUCCUAUGAAUUAUGAAAAGAUACAUAUUUGUAUCUAAUUAGGACUUACAUUAUUUAUUUGGUAGAGACAAACACUUCUAGUUGCGGAAACACUCCCUUACAAGUGUUUGGAAGGACCCGGGUGACAUUUGGGGACACAUAUAGCUAGGAUAUUGAAUUGGGACUUCAAGAGUAAACUCCUUAGGGAGUUUACAGCCCUAAAUACCACACCCACAUGAGUUCACGGCCGUGAACUCAUAAGUGGUGUUUUUGGAUGCUAAAUGGAUUCAUAAUUCAUGGAUAAUUUAGCUAGGAUUGCAUCUAAGGCAUAUGAAUGAUUUUAAAUUCACUUAGGGACCAUUUAUUGGAGUUUACAGCUGUAAACAUGGAGUUUACGGCCGUAAGCUCCCCCACACACAACAGCCUUAAUGUUUUGGUCCUUUAAUCAAUCACAUGUGAUUCUAAUGAUUUUUCCAAGCCUUGACUGGAUUUUUAAGGGAAUUUUGACAAAGUUUUAAGAGUUUACGGCCCAUGAACCCCCUCAUGGCCAUGAACUCCUUGGAAGGGUGUUAUAAUAUGUUUUAGGGUCCCAUACUUGUUUGUAAACACUUCUAGAAUUUAUCCCAAGGCUUUAGGUGUGUUAAAGUGGCAUUUUAACACAUUUAGAGGAGUUUACUCUCCAUGAACAAUGAGUUUACGGCCCAAGCAUGUUCUUGGGCGGUAAACUCAAGUUUACUCCUCUAAAUUGAUGUUCAAGGUGUUCCAAGGCCAAAUCCAAUAUUCUAAAAUUCAUAUCCAAGAUUCAAUAGAGUUUUGGAAGGGUUUAAGGGCAUAAAAACCCCAUUUAUAUGAGUUUACGGCCCAAGCAUGCUCUUGGGAAGUAAACUCAAGUUUACUCUUCAAAAUCCAUGUUUAAGGCAUUCUAAGUCUAUUCCAUAAAGUCAUCUAGCGAUAUCUAAGGUCAAAUUGUGGUUUGGAAGGGUUUUGUUGCUCAAAAACCCCAUUUAUAUGAGUUUACGACCUAGGACUGUUCUAGGGCCGUAAACACAUGAUAAUGGUCCUAAUCCAUAGUUUACAUAACAAGCUAGGGAAGGUACCUUGGUGAUUAGAAGCCUUAAACUUGAGAUUUGGACCCUUAAACUUGGAUUUAGGAGAGAGGUUAGAGAGAGAGUAGAGAGAGGAAGCAAAAGUUUCAAAUGAAUGUUUAAACACGUUUAAAUAGGUCCCAAAACUUGGACACAGAGGAAUUCUACCUGAUACCGGCAUUAAACGGGGCUUUUGGUCGCACCCGAUUAAGUUUCCGUAACCCGGCGGGGACGUUUCUAUAAUUUCUGAAAUAAACAAUUUGGGCUAAUUUCAUGAGUUCCUAAGGAGUUUGGACACUCAUUAGAUUUUAAUAAACAUAUAAGUUUAAAUAAUUUAACCCAAAACGAAAUCGGAAUGAAUUGAUAAACGGCGAAUUUUUACGGGUAGAAUGGGUUUUCGGCGAUGGACAAUUUCAUGUUGUUACAUUAUCCCCCCUUUAGAGGGAAUUUCGUCCCGAAAUUCAGAUUAAGAUAUAGAUCAUGAAUUGGAAUGAAAUACGAAUGGAUUUGUUGCCUCAGAUCUUCACGCUCCCAAGUGGAAUCGGGUCUCCGCUUGGCGUUCCAUUGAAUCCUCACUAUCGGGACGCGCCUUUGUUUCGUACAUUGACUCUCUCUCAAUAUAUGAUCUCAAUUGAUUCUCCCAUGGAAGUUUCAACCAUGGAUGACUUCGGUUUCCUCAAAGGAAUCACUAGGGUUUCGUUUGGUAGAUACUUCUUAAGGAUAGAGACAUGAAGUACCAGAUGGAUGCUACUAAGUUCUGAGGAUAGCCGAAAUUUGAAGGUUGCGAAAUCGAUUCUACGAGGAUCACGAAGGGUCUAAUGUAUCACGCGUGAAGUAUUUCGCACUUCUCAAAGCAUAUCAUGAUUUUCUGGAAAAAGCCUUCAACAUGACAGAUGCUCCAAUUGGAAGGCACAUCCUCAUGGAGCCGAGUAGCUAAGGUUCUGAUGGUUCUAGAAGGAAUUUCUGGGUAAGUCGGCGAUAUUAGUCGAUGAGACCCAAGAAUCAACAGGUUUCUAUAGGUAUUUUCGGUGCUGACUAAUUCCCUAUCGCCUUAGAUGUUGGAAAAGUACACGGUUACGACUACUUUGCUUGGCUACAUGAUCAAGGGAAAAGGAUUUGACCGAAGGGCACCACUACUAACUCGUAGUGAUCAUAUCAAUUCUUGGUCACCGUAUUGGACAUGUUACUAUCGUUGAGAUUUGGUGACGAGGUAGUUCGGAGAAUUAGGCCACUGCGAGACUAGACUAGACGUUCGGAAAGAGUUCUCGAGAAUCCUUCGGGAAAGACACUUAGGGAAAAGAGCUGGAGACUUCUUGUUUCCCGAUGAUCACAGAAACGAGGGAUGCAUAACAAUUCAUAUCGGGAAAACUUUUGAGUUUUAAGGUAUGAAAUGAUACGAAGGUUUGAUGCCGAAGAUCAUGAGAGUCGGUUCGGGGAAAAGAUCUAGACGGGCGACCCAUACAAAACCAAGGAUAACAACUUGAAUGAGACUUGGUCAUUUCAUGUCGAACAUAGCAUCAAAGUAUUUCGUGAAAAGUUUCCCAUUUAAAUCGACUGGAACAGAAUAAUCCCCCAGACUGAGAAUACAAUUUACAGAUACGAAGUUAGUGUUCUCUAUCUCACUGGUUAGUCGUCUCGGUUGUACUUAAUUUCGAUUACAAAUGAAGGAUUAAGUUUAGAGACUGUUCGAAUGGAUAAAUAACAAGUUUCCCUUAUGGUACUAGAAUCGAAAAGAGUUGUCAAAGAGGAGUAUACCUGCGGCGAGAGUGGGAUCAGCGGUUGUCUCCUCUCGUCCUACUGCUAGGAAUCUUCCGGUGUUGCCAGUUGUUGCUGCUUUGGGGCAAUUUCUUUUGAAGUGCCCUACUUCGCCACAACUGUAGCAGGCUGGAGUGAUUCCCGUUCCGGAUGAUUGGUUUGUUGAUUUACCUGGUUUUUUUGCAGGUUCAAGCAAGGUGGCCCUUCUUGCCACAGUUGUCACAGAUUCUUUCGCGACAUGGACCAGGAAUGCGGUGAUGGUAGCUGCACUUACGGCACCAAGGAAGGGUACCAGUGUAUCCAUUGGUAGGAGUUUGGGCUGUGGACCCGACAACUGAAAUAGCAACAGGGGCAGUAGCAGAAUGGACUACUACCGUUUGCUGUUUCUUAGAAGAACCUUGCGUACUUUGGGCCUUCCGCUUGUUCCAGAAUUUCUUUUUACUUCCACUUCCACUUGUGACUGGCUCCGGAGUGUUAGCCUCCUCAUCAGAGUUGUCUUCGUGAUCGAUCAAGGUUUGCGCAAGACAUUUAGCGUUGUCGUAGGUGUCUGGCUUCGCAGCCAAGACAUUCCCUUUGGUUGGCUGGGUCAACCCCCAGAUGAACCUCUCAAUCUUUGUACUCUCCGGGGUAACCAUUACCGGACAGAGUAACGCCAGGUCAUCGAACCUUGAUGUAUAAGCGGCUAUGUCGGAACCCUUCAUCUCUAGGUUCCAGAGUUCGUGUUCUAGUUUCGGUAUUUCGCCCCGAGGGCAAUACUCAGCGAGCAGAAGCUCCUUCAUAGCUUCCCAACCCAUAGAAUUUGCUACAGGUAGAGUUAAGGAUUUGACUCGGCCGUUCCACCAAGUCAGGGCUUUGUCAAGGAAGGUGCAGGCGGCAAACUUUACUUUGUCAGACUCCGAACAGGCGCAUAUUUCAAAGAUUGAUUCGAUUUUCUCGAUCCAUCGGGUGAGGGAAAUGACACCUCCAGUGCCAUCAAAGGAUAUGGGUUUCGCGUUCAUGAAGUCUUUAUAGGAACCCUCUUUUCGGUGUCCCUGACUGUUCUCUUGGUUUUGGGUUUGAGUAUCACCUUCUGAACCACCGGAACCACCGGUGUUCAAUUGGGGCAUAGCAGCUGCCACCGCAGCGGUAACAACUGCCUGUAAUACCACGGGGUCGAUUUCAGGAGGAGGUGGUGGCGGAGGGUUGUUGUUGGUUGUUGAACUGGAUCUCCUUCUUGGGGGCAUCUUGAUCUAAAAAGAUCAGGAAAGAGAGGAUCAUAAGUCCUCUGAAUUGAAUCAAAAGAUAAGGAACAGGGGAUAUCUCUUCAAGGCAGAUAUAGCACCAUAUUAAGCGAUAAAGCAGGAAAGAGUUAUCAAGGCAGAUAAUUUAUCGCUAGAGGAAUGAUCAUGGAACAAAGCGUAUACGAGGAUUUUCUACAAAGGAUUGACUCGAGAAAUAGUCCCAUAGUAUUUCGUGAUUCACUGCAAUGACGACUCGUUGUUUGGGGUAUUGGGUAAGUUUUAGGUAUGUUGCGUACCACAGUCACUCCCAGGCACAUGUUGGCCGUGUCUUGAAUGAAUAUAGUUGGCCAGGCUAUAUUGACCCUAGACACGAUUACAUAACUGCCCAGGGUUAACCGCAGCGUACAACACCCGUUUACUUAUGUUUUCUUCUACUUGUAGUUACAGAUCUCUACGGUUCGGUAUACUUUUAUACUUUUUGAAAAUACUUAUAUUUUGAAGGAUACUUUUAGUUUAGAGCGCUUAGGCCCUUUAGUGUUUAUAGUUUUAUACCAUGUAAGGUUUGGUAUACUCCGUUCACUAUAAACAAGGGCACUGAUACCAAUAAGUCACACCCCGAAAACCAAAGGCGGAAACAUUUCCGUGGUUGACUCCACGUUGAGUAUCAAAUCCAAUGCAGAUAGUAAUCAAAGUAAACAACCAUUACAUUACAUAUAUUUGAAAGUUUACAUUUGUUUCAAAAGUAAAUUGUACAAGUGUUAUACAUAUAUCAUAUGAACAAAAGUAGAGACGAGUCUUUUGCGCACUCCAUCUUCACCAAAAGAUAUCACCGGGUACCUACCUAAUGAGGACCUAAGAAUACAAGCGGUUUGAAAAUCAGCAUAAAGCUGGUUAGUUCAUAAGAUUGUCUGUUUUCUGAAAAUGUACCAGUAUCCUUUAGUUUUCCGAAAAAGUUUGUUAUCCAAGAAAAUCCCAUAUUUUCUUAUGUAAAACAAUUUAGUUAUAUUUCAUUACAGUUCAAUUACGCGCUAUAUGUUACCCCAGGAAAAUCCCAUAUUUUCCUAAAUACAAGACCGAUUGAAUAUCACAGAGUAUAGUUUAAUACACAAAACUAUAUAUUUAGAAUCAUGGGAUUACUAUCCCGAAUUAGAUAUAAAAUACUUUAAUAUACGUGAACUGUAGAUGGAAAGUAGUUUGAAAACCUUGGGACUAACAUCCCGUACUACAUAUAGAUUUAAUACCAUGGGACUAUCAUCCCGGACUAGAUACAAGAUAGUUUGAUAUACAUGAAAAUAUAGACUGAAAACCAUGGGACUACCAUCCCGGACUAGAUACAAGAUAGUUUGAUAAAACCAUGGGAUCACUAUCCCGAACUAGAUAUAAGAUAUUUUGAUAAAACCAUGGGAUUACUAUCCCGAACUAGAUAUAAGAUAGUUUGAUAAAACCAUGGGAUCACUAUCCCGAACUAGAUAUAGAUUCUAACCAUAG
rnacentral:lncRNA from 1 species